AGAGUUUGAUCGUGGCUCAGGAUGAGCGCUGGCGGCGUGCCUAACACAUGCAAGUCGAACGGAGUUAUGAGAGGAAGUUUUCGGAUGGAAUCCCAUAACUUAGUGGCGGACGGGUGAGUAACGCGUGGGAAACCUGCCCUGUACCGG
rnacentral:rRNA from 1 species